rnacentral:rRNA from 1 species
CCUACGGGAGGCAGCAGUGGGGAAUAUUGGACAAUGGGGGGAACCCUGAUCCAGCCAUGCCGCGUGUGUGAAGAAGGCCCUCGGGUUGUAAAGCACUUUCAGGGAGGAAGAACGCCUGGUGGUUAAUACCCAUCAGGAAAGACAUCACUCACAGAAGAAGCACCGGCUAACUCCGUGCCAGCAGCCGCGGUAAUACGGAGGGUGCGAGCGUUAAUCGGAAUUACUGGGCGUAAAGCGCGCGUAGAUGGCUUGAUAAGCCGGUUGUGAAAGCCCCGGGCUCAACCUGGGAACGGCAUCCGGAACUGUCAAGCUAGAGUGCAGGAGAGGAAGGUAGAAUUCCCGGUGUAGCGGUGAAAUGCGUAGAGAUCGGGAGGAAUACCAGUGGCGAAGGCGGCCUUCUGGACUGACACUGACACUGAGGUGCGAAAGCGUGGGUAGCAAACAGGAUUAGAUACCCUUGUAGUC